rnacentral:tRNA from 1 species
GGGAGUGGUUGGGCAGCUGGUGCGCCCCGCGGCCUUCAAAGCCGACUGUCCCGCCUGUUGGGCGGGAGGUAGGUUCGAUUCCUACACACUCCC